AAAGACAGGAAGUAAUUUCAGGUAUAAAUAGGAAGUUCCGGGUGAGAGGUGAAUCGGGAGGAAUUCGAGAGGAGAUAUUGCUGUGACAGCAGAGGAGGUAAUUCUUCUCUUUAAAGCCCAACUUGAGAUUUGAGUUCCACUCUCAAACUGUUCCUCUUGAUAUCGGUCACCUGGACAGAAAAUGUAAGGAAUUCUCCCCAACCAGAACACAGACACAGACUGGAUUCUACAGUCAAUCCAAACCUAAAAUAUCUGGUGAUCCAUAAGCCCCCAGCAGCUGUCUUCACAGGAUAUCAGCCAUCACAGUGUCCCAGUGUAUGCCAUGAUGGAGAAUCAGCCGCUUCUCACAUCACCGGAUGGAUCCAGUAAUGGGAACCCACCAGAGAGAUGUCCCCG